GAUGAACGCUGGCGGCGUGCCUAAUACAUGCAAGUCGAGCGAACAGACGAGGAGCUUGCUCCUCUGACGUUAGCGGCGGACGGGUGAGUAACACGUGGAUAACCUACCUAUAAGACUGGGAUAACUUCGGGAAACCGGAGCUAAUACCGGAUAAUAUAUUGAACCGCAUGGUUCAAUAGUGAAAGACGGUUUUGCUGUCACUUAUAGAUGGAUCCGCGCCGCAUUAGCUAGUUGGUCAGGUAACGGCUUACCAAGGCAACGAUGCGUAGCCGACCUGAGAGGGUGAUCGGCCACACUGGAACUGAGACACGGUCCAGACUCCUACGGGAGGCAGCAGUAGGGAAUCUUCCGCAAUGGGCGAAAGCCUGACGGAGCAACGCCGCGUGAGUGAUGAAGGUCUUCGGAUCGUAAAACUCUGUUAUUAGGGAAGAACAAAUGUGUAAGUAACUAUGCACGUCUUAACGGUACCUAAUCAGAAAGCCACGGCUAACUACGUG
rnacentral:rRNA from 1 species